rnacentral:rRNA from 1 species
AUUGAACGCUGGCGGCAUGCUCUACACAUGCAAGUCGAACGGUAACAGGCCGCAAGGUGCUGACGAGUGGCGGACGGGUGAGUAAUUCAUCGGAACGUGCCCAGUCGUGGGGGAUAACUACUCGAAAGAGUAGCUAAUACCGCAUACGAUCUAUGGAUGAAAGCGGGGGACCGUAAGGCCUCGCGCGAUUGGAGCGGCCGAUGUCGGAUUAGGUAGUUGGUGGGGUAAAGGCUCACCAAGCCAACGAUCUGUAGCUGGUCUGAGAGGACGACCAGCCACACUGGGACUGAGACACGGCCCAGACUCCUACGGGAGGCAGCAGUGGGGAAUUUUGGACAAUGGGCGCAAGCCUGAUCCAGCAAUGCCGCGUGCAGGAAGAAGGCCUUCGGGUUGUAAACUGCUUUUGUACGGAACGAAACGGCUCUGGUUAAUACCCGGGGCUAAUGACGGUACCGUAAGAAUAAGCACCGGCUAACUACGUG